rnacentral:rRNA from 1 species
GAUGAACGCUAGCUACAGGCUUAACACAUGCAAGUCGAGGGACCGGCGCACGGGUGAGUAACACGUAUCCAACCUGCCCUUUACUCGGGGAUAGCCUUUCGAAAGAAAGAUUAAUACCCGAUAUAAAGGAUGGGGAUGCGUUCCAUUAGGUUGUUGGUGAGGUAACGGCUAACCAAGCCGUCGAUGGAUAGGGGUUCUGAGAGGAAGGCUCCCCACAUUGGAUCUGAGACACGGUCCAAACUCCUACGUGAGGCAGCAGGGAGGAAGAUUGGUCAAGGGGCGCUAGCCUUAACCAGCCAAGUAGCGGGAAGGAUGAAUGCUUAUGGGUCGUAAACUUCUUUUAUAUAAGAAUAUGUAUUAUAUGAAUAAGGAUCGGCUAACUCCGUGCCAGCCGACGCGGUAAUUC